GACAAUAGAGCUUCCACAUGGUUACCUUUUCUUGUGGGGCUCACUCUUGAGUCUCAGCCACCAUACUAUGAAGAAGCCAUUUACUACAUAGAAAGACACGUGGGCUAUUCAGUAACCUCGGCUGAUAAAUAGUUUUCAGGCAUCUUCCUCCCUGUCUCUCUCUUCCCUCCCUUUUUUCACAGAUCCUAAAUGAAUACCUACUAUGUGAAUACAGUGGGAAUAUCAAAAUGAUCUAUCCAUGAUCUAUGAUUUCAAACUGAUGACUUUGAAGAUCAAUCUUACAGUAAAUUAAGUGUUAUACUAACAGGUGUCAGUGAAGUACUAUGACACAUGUAGUAAAAAACUGGCUAAUUUUACCAGAUGCUAGAAGAAGAGAAAGAAGCAAAGAAUCAGAGAAGAUCUCAUCUAGUUAUCUGACUGAUAAUGGCUUUUCUUCAGAUUGAGAAGUAUCUGUGGGUGGCAACAGCGAAUAGGAGGUUGAUAUGAGGACCUAAAAGACUUGAAGAGACUCUGCUUUGUUUUGAAUCAUUCAUAUGUGGUGCCACACUAUUCAGAAAUUAAUGUUAUUCCAUAAAUGAAUAAUGAUUUAAAUGUACUCAGUAAUUGUAAAUGCACAAGCAUUUUUCCUGUCAUAUAAUAAUAAAAAAAAUGAUGUGGUUU